rnacentral:rRNA from 1 species
UAAACUACGAUUAGAUACCCUAUUAUUUAAAAUGUUAAUUAUUACCUAGGUAGUAGCAAUUAUGUUUUUUAAACCUAAAGAAUUUGGCGGUAUUUUAUUCUACUUAGAGGAACUUGUUUAGUAAUCGAUAAUCCUCGUUAUAUCUUGCUUAAUUUUGUUUUUCAGUAUGUAUAUCGUUGUUAUAAGUUUAUUUUUUUAGAAUUUUUAAUUUACUAAAUAAGUUAUUUUUUAUUAUUUCAAAUCAAGGUGCAGCUAAUAAUUAAGUUAUAAUGAGUUACAAUAUUGUAUUAAUAAAUGAAUGUGAUUUUUAAAAUAUUAUUGAAAGUGGAUUUAAUAGUAAUUUUAAUGAUAGAGUUUAUUUGAAAGUAGCUCUAUAAUAAGUACACAUCG